rnacentral:rRNA from 1 species
AGUUUGAUCCUGGCUCAGAGUGAACGCUGGCGGUAGGCCUAACACAUGCAAGUCGAACGGCAGCACAGGAGAGCUUGCUCUCUGGGUGGCGAGUGGCGGACGGGUGAGGAAUACAUCGGAAUCUACUUUUUCGUGGGGAUAACGUAGGGAAACUUACGCUAAUACCGCAUACGACCUACGGGUGAAAGCAGGGGAUCUUCGGACCUUGCGCGAUUGAAUGAGCCGAUGUCGGAUUAGCUAGUUGGCGGGGUAAAGGCCCACCAAGGCGACGAUCCGUAGCUGGUCUGAGA